rnacentral:rRNA from 1 species
UGAACGCUGGCGGUAUGCUUAACACAUGCAAGUCGAACGGAAACGAUACUAGCUUGCUAGUAGGCGUCGAGUGGCGGACGGGUGAGUAACGCGUAGGAAUCUGCCUGAUAGUGGGGGAUAGCCCGAAGAAAUUCGGAUUAAUACCGCAUAAUCUAUUCGUAGUAAAGUGGGGGACUUUCGAGCCUCACGCUAUCAGAUGAGCCUGCGUAAGAUUAGCUUGUUGGUAGGGUAAAAGCCUACCAAGGCGACGAUCUUUAGCUGGUCUGAGAGGAUGAUCAGCCACAUCGGGACUGAGACACGGCCCGAACUCCUACGGGAGGCAGCAGUGGGGAAUAUUGGACAAUGGGGGCAACCCUGAUCCAGCAAUACCGCGUGUGUGAAGAAGGCCUGAGGGUUGUAAAGCACUUUCAAUUGUGAAGAAAAGUUAGCGGUUAAUAACCGUUAGCCUUGACGUUAACUUUAGAAGAAGCACCGGCUAACUCCGUGCCAGCAGCCGCGGUAAUACGGAGGGUGCAAGCGUUAAUCGGAAUUACUGGGCGUAAAGCGUGCGUAGGUGGUUUAUUAAGUCAGAUGUGAAAGCCCCGGGCUUAACCUGGGAACUGCAUUUGAAACUGGUCAACUAGAGUAUGGUAGAGGAAAGUGGAAUUUCUGGUGUAGCGGUGAAAUGCGUAGAUAUCAGAAGGAACAUCAAUGGCGAAGGCAGCUUUCUGGACCAAUACUGACACUGAGGUACGAAAGCGUGGGUAGCAAACAGGAUUAGAUACCCUGGUAGUCCACGCCGUAAACGAUGAUAACUAGCCGUUGGGGGGAUUUACCCUUUAGUGGCGAAGCUAACGCGUUAAGUUAUCCGCCUGGGGAGUACGGCCGCAAGGUUAAAACUCAAAGGAAUUGACGGGGACCCGCACAAGCGGUGGAGCAUGUGGUUUAAUUCGAUGCAACGCGAAGAACCUUACCUGGUCUUGACAUCCUGCGAACUUUCUAGAAAUAGAUUGGUGCCUUCGGGAACGCAGUGACAGGUGCUGCAUGGCUGUCGUCAGCUCGUGUCGUGAGAUGUUGGGUUAAGUCCCGUAACGAGCGCAACCCCUAUCCUUAUUUGCCAGCACAUCAUGGUGGGAACUAUAAGGAGACUGCCGGUGAUAAACCGGAGGAAGGCGGGGACGACGUCAAGUCAUCAUGGCCCUUACGACCAGGGCUACACACGUGCUACAAUGGGAAGGACAAAGAGCCGCGAAGCCGCGAGGUGUAGCUAAUCUCAUAAACCUUUUCGUAGUCCGGAUUGGAGUCUGCAACUCGACUCCAUGAAGUCGGAAUCGCUAGUAAUCGUAGAUCAGAAUGCUACGGUGAAUACGUUCCCGGGUCUUGUACACACCGCCCGUC